UGACCAUUCACUGGACUAAAUUACAAGUGCCAGAUAUUGAUCUUGAUGGCAUCAGAGACAAUAAUGAAGAUAUUGUUGAUCAAGUUCGGGCUGCGUCUCAAACAUGGGGCUUUUUCCAAUUUAUCAAUCGUGGGGUUCCCUUAAACCUGAUACAAGAGAUGAUUGAAGGAGUUCACAAGUUUAAUGAACAAGAUGUUGAGGUGAAGAAACAGUUCUACACACGUGAGCCCACAAGAAAUGUUAGAUUCAACAGCAACUUUGAUCUGUAUCACUCACGAACCGCAAGUUGGAGGAUACGUUGGCCAUUUCUACUUCGGGUACCAAAAGUUUGGAACCCAAUGAAUGGCCGAAAGUUUGCAGGUAUAUACAUAAUCGAUCCCUGUCUCUGUAUAUAUAUUGCUGGUUAAUUAAGAGCCCUUUUUAAUUAAUGUUCAGUGUAUUGUAACCAGCCAUCAUGAGUUGUGAUAUCAUAUUCUUCUGUACAAUCGUUCAUCCGAAUUUGCAGAGAUACCAUAAUGGAGUACAUAAAAGAAGUCUCAAAAUUGGGUGAGACUCUGUUUGAAAUACUAUCAAUGGCUCUAGGACUGAAGCCUGAAUAUUUGAAAGAUAUGGGAUGCUUCAAUUUAUACAGCGUUAUCUGCCACUACUAUCCGCACUGCCCACAGCCAGAGCUGACUUUGGGAGCUAGAAGGCAUUCUGAUCCUUCAUUCCUUACAAUUCUGUUGCAAGACCAAAUCGGUGGCCUUCAAGUCUUUAAUGAAAAUCAGUGGAUUGAUGUUAACCCUAUAUCAGGAGGCUUGGUGGUAAAUAUAGGGGACUUUCUCCAGGUUUGUCUUUGAAAAUAACGGAGACAAUUAAUCUUCCCAUCAUCUGCUUAUUUUUCGUGUUUUAAUAGUAACUAUAUAUGCUAAUUUAAAGUUUUCAAUAAUUAAUCAAUUCAGGUUGUAUCAAACGAUAAGCUCAAGAGUGUUGACCAUAGAGUUGUGGCCAAUGUUCAUGCCACUGCAAGGGUUUCCGUGGCAUGCUUUUUCACAGGACACACCACUGAAACGCAGAAGCCCUUUGGGCCGAUCAAAGAGUUGAUCUCUAAAGAAAAUCCGCCUGUUUACAGAGAAUUUCUAGUGGGAGAAUAUUUCAGCAAAUAUUUUUCUAAAGAACUUGAAAGCAAGUCUGCUGGCCUCAAGCAGUUCGAGGUUUGAAAGUAGCAAUAUAUUUGAAUAGAGUUCUUAAAUGUUGUGUAAUCAAUAAAUUGAGGAUGUACUGAGGUUAAUAUCUGCCCUUCCGAAUAACUUCAAACUACAUGCAUGUUUCAAACAAGGAUAAUAAUUCUCUUGUGAUUCAAUUUUUUUCUUUUUUCUUUUUUUGUGUAAGAUUCAAGAAGCAUCCUAUCAAUUUGGAAUUUUUUUAUGUUCUCAUGCUAAUUUAAAAAUAAACAAUUAGACUUAAUGCUCAUAUAUAAUUAUAUAUGAUCUACUACUGAUAUUUUUACAAGAUUGAACUUUAGUGUAUCAUUAAUUAAAAAAAAAUUAUUAUGUACUGAAAUCUUAAUAGUAUGGGUUUUACUAAGUUAUAUAGAAUGUAACUUACAAUAAACCCAAAGUUAAUUAUCCAUAACCUUUUGCUUGUUUCACAUAUUAUCAUUCUCUUGUAUUGAAAAAUUAUUUUUGAAUUGUUGUAAAUUACAUAUAACCUAACUUAGCAGCUACCCAUGUAUCAUUAUAAAUAUAUUCUGUUACACGAGAUCUUUGAACUAUACAACACAAAUUAGCAAAAAAUUUGGACUUGAAAAAUGAAAUAACUGAAGCGGUUGAACAUGAGCUGUAAUGCUCAGGGCUACCCAAUAUGCUGGACUUUUCUAAUUCCAACAUCGGAGUCAAAGGGUCAACAGAUUAGGCAAUUGAUUAAGGCCUCAUAUUUAGUUACUAUGCAUUUAGUCAAACUUUUUUAUUUGUAAAUUUUCUAUCCUCAGUAAUUAUAAAGCAGCAAACGAUGUAUAUUAAUUAGUUUGCAAAAUAAAGGGCCUAUUUGCAAUUCUCCUGUAUACAGUGAAACGUCUGUGCAAGAUUUCAUUGCGUACUGCAAAUCAAGAGGGCUUUGAUGGGAACUCUGCUCUCACACGUUUCAAGUUGCGGAGGUAAGUUAACCACAGAUAGGAGGUUAGGUUGCCGUGAUUAACGGAUUGUUUACCCAAGUGGAUGGUUGUGCUGGAGCCGUACUGAUGCGCACUGACAUCCAUGUGCUUCUCAACACUUGAUGUUUGCUUUCACUUGUCGAAGUUGGAUUUGAAAAAGAAAAAGCAGAUGUACGAAAAGGGUCCAGCCACAGUUCAACACCCCCCUUGUAAAUUUUCUUUAACCCCUUUCACUCAUUUUUAUUUAAAUUUUAUUUCACAAAUAUUAAGUUACUUCAUACUGCAUCCAUAUAAAUAUUUUAGUUAGCACUAUAUACUAUUUAUUAUUAACAAAAUUUUAUUUUAUAUUACACAUGUAUCACAAUGCCCCCUCCCUUUAUAAUUUUGAGAUCAAAUAAUUAAUCGGAUCGACCCAAACCCUCGAACCCGACCCGGACUUCAUUUCCAUUUUCGGCCACUCCACCGGCCAAGGUUGGUACCAAUUGGAAGCUCGUGAGAUGCCGGUCAUCUCCAUGCCAUCCUCGUUGCCGGAAGGCUUUCGGAAAGCCGCCGUCGACCCGACCCUGAUUCCGAUUUCGUUUUCGGCCACUCCACUGGCCAAGGUUGGUACCGAUCGGAAGCUAGUGUGACGCCAGUCAUCGCCAUACCAUCCUUUUUGCCGGAAAGUAUUCGUAAAGCUGCGGAAUCGCCGCUUCAAUUCGCCACGAUUUUACUAGUUUUCGGUGACGCCACCACUUGAGUUUUGUUUCCCAUAAAUCUCUCUGUCUUUUCCGACCAACCACAGCCACCGGAGGAGUCGUUAUCGGCCGUUGAAGGAUUUAGGGAUGCAGUAGAAAGUAACUUAAUAUUUGUGAAGCAAAGUUCAAAUAAAAAUGAGUAAAAGGGGUUAAAUGAAAUUUUACAAUGGUGCAGCCAAAAAGACAAAAGAGAUGACAUGGUACCGCUGUGGUAUAAUAGCUUAGUCCGUACGAAAAACCAAUUAGGACGUCUAUUUACUUCAGGAAUUAAAAUUAUUUGAAUAUCUCUGCUGUAAGCAUAGCAUCCUUGAAUCGUUGACUGCCAGUGCAAUGGUGUGAUCUCUAUCAAGCAAUAAGUAAGCUUGAUUUUAAGCCAGGCCGUUUACCAAUUAUAACUAUCCAAUGUUUAUGCUCAUUAAUUAUUUGAUACUUAGUUGAAAAGUAUUAACAUAGGCCAUAAGACUACCAUCUAUGUUCAUCAUUUUCUUGUAGAAAACAGACGAUGGAUAUCUCAGAUGCCAGUAGAACGACCACGCAAACUGUAACGGACUACGACAGAGCUAAAGAGGUUCAGGCUUUUGAUGAUACAAAAGCCGGUGUCAAAGGAUUAGUGGAUGCUGGAAUUGUGAACAUUCCGAGGAUAUUCAUUCGACCACCUGAGGAGCUUGUCGAGGAGUUGACCAGUCAUCAGACCAAUUUUCAAGUACCGGUUAUCGAUCUUGAUGGCGUCAGAGGCAAUAACCUUGAGGAGAUUGUUGAUCAAGUUCGGGCUGCAGCAGAGACAUGGGGCUUCUUUCAAGUGGUGAAUCACGGUAUUCCCUUAAAUGUGUUGGAAGAGAUGAUUGAAGGGAUAAGCAAGUUUAAUGAACUAGAUGUUGAGUUGAAGAAAGAGUUUUAUACACGUGACCAGACAAGAAAUGUCAGAUUCAACAGCAACUUUGAUCUGCAUUACUCACGAACAGCUAAUUGGCGGGACACGUUGACAAUUUCUACCUUAGCUUCCACCAAUUUAGACCCCAACGAAUACCCAGAAGUUUGCAGGUACAUACUUUGAUCGCUGGCUAUGUAUAGCAUUAUCUCCCAACAUCUGAAUCCGACUGAUUGUUUAAUAUGCAAUUGGAUACACUUUAUGGAAGGCAUUGGGCUUGCUACCACAAGUUCAAAUAAUAAGUUCCUUUGGAGCAAAAUUUGUUGAAGUUGAAAAAGAAAGUCUUAGUUGGGACGAAUAGUUGCUGCAAUAUGCUGAGGUUUUUUCUCAUGCUUGGGUUAUUAAGUUUGUUUAUUGAAUGUGAAAGACACGGUCUGUAAGCAUGUUCUUGUUCCUGCUAAUAUUUCAUUUAAUGUUUCACUAUUUGCUGCUGCAAAUGAGCACCCUACUUUAUGCUCACUUAGGCAUUUAAUCAAACUUCUUCAUAGAUAUUAUCAAACACCUGUGAACUCCUUGUAAUAGACGUGAAAACAAACCAUCAACAGAAAUCAUCAACCAACAACUACAAGAGCAAUUAAUGUGUGGUUCAUUGAAUUGGCUUAUGUACAUCUAAGUUCCUAGCAUUCGAUAUCACAAAAUUGUAAUUCUAAAUGAAUCAACAAUUUUGCAUUUUACAGGUCUAUUGAAAUUAAUUAAUUCGUGAUCACAGUGAUAUUUUUUUCUUUUUACUUUUUUCUGUUAAUACCCAAUUGAUUGUAUCUUCUCCUGUGCCAAUUGUUCUCACAAAUUUGCAGAGAUGCUGCGAGAGAGUACAUUAAAAAUGUCACAAAAUUGGCUGAAACUCUGUUUGAAUUAUUAUCACUGGCUCUUGGGCUGAAGGCUGAACAUUUACUAGAGAUUGGAUGCCCUAAAGAAUACAUCCUUCUCUGCCAAUACUAUCCACCUUGCCCUCAGCCAGAUUUGACAUUGGGAGCUACCGGGCAUUCAGACCCUUCAUUUCUUACCAUUCUUCUGCAAGACCAAAUCGGCGGCCUUCAAGUCUUUCAUGACAAUCAAUGGGUUGGUGUUCAACCCAUUGUGGGAGGCUUAGUGGUAAACAUAGGGGACUUCCUCCAGGUUUGUCUUUCACAAUUGCAAUGACUAUUUUUUCCACCAUCAUGCCAAUCUUCAUCAAUCAUCACGACACUCAUGACUAAUUAGCUGAUGGUGUCUUAAAAUUGAAUCAGAUUAUAUCAAACGACAAGUUCAAGAGUGUUAAACACAGAGUAGUCGCCAGUCAUGUCGGUCCAAGGGUUUCCGUGCCAUGCUUUUUCAUGGGACAUAAUGCAGAAAUCCCAAAGUCUUAUGGGCCGAUCAAAGAGUUGACAUCCGCAGAAAAUCCUCCUAUUUACAGAGAUUUUCGUGCAAGUGAAUAUUUUAGCAAACGAUUUUCUACGGUGCUUGAUGACAAUUCUCCCCUCCAUCAGCUCAAACUAUGAAGCUGGCAAUAUUUGUAUAAAUUACUCGUAUUUGGUAACAACAAUUUACAAAUUGCGGAGUCCUGUUGUGAACUCUUUCCCAAUAAUUCCGAAAAAAAUAUGUUUUAACUAAUUAAUAACGUAUGAAUCAUCCAAUGUUGCUCUUUGAUUUCUUCAAUUAUUAGAAUGUCCCUACUGCACUGCAGUUCCCCAAUUAGUGUCAAAAUUGCUCAGCCAGCGCUCGUUGUAAUGCUUCGUUUAUUAUUUGAUAUGGAUUAAACGAUUGUUUUAAUCAGAUCAUGAUUCAAGGUCGAUACGAUCACCCUAAGAUCUUGAUUGACCACUAAUGAUGAAAGAAAAAAGAACACAGACUAUCUGAUUUAUGCACUAAACAAAAACAAUCAAUUGAGCACCAAGAACCAGAUUUACGUGGUUCAAUGGAGAUGGCUCAUAUUCAAGGAAGAAUGGGGUAUCAGGAUUUCAUUAAACCUUGAUGUCAAAUUAUACAAUGACACUACAAGUUGCUUGGAACAAGAUGAAGUGACUUUCUCUCUCUAAUUCUUAUAUCUACAGCAUGUAUGAGAUCUCAGUAACCAUGAUGUUGAUCAGCUUGUCAUAACAGCAACAGCUACGCACCAGCGCGACGGGGACCCGGGGAAGAAAAAAAAAACUGUUCCUGUUUGACCAAUUUGACUUAGGUGGCCCAGGUGCGUUGCACGUGAUUACUCAGUACAACAUCAAAACGACAGAAUUCUUAGCCGUUUCACGCUUGCAUUUUUAACGCCAAACGUUACCCUUUUUUUCUCUGUUUCAAAGGGCAAACCACAGGCGUUUUAAUUUGCAGCCUCCUGAUUUGAGAUCUUAUGUCAACGCCGUCGUAAUCCUUACUCCUUAGUCGAUCAGACACCUCAUUCUCUUAUCCUUGAGAUUUAUGAUUUUGCUGUCCCAUGAGCGUAAUAGUUUGGUUUUUUUUUUUUUUUUUCAAUAAAACCACCAAGAGGUGUGGUUAGGUGGACCCCCUGUCUAUAAUGUAAAUGAAUAAUAAAGUAAAUACAUGAGAAAGACAUAAACCAAAAUCUCCUAAAAUAAAUAUAAAUAACACAAGAAUAAAAUUAUCAAAAGGAAGAUAAAAGCCAUCAAUGCUCGCCUCUGAGGUAAGGAACAACAUGCACAUCCAAAUGGAGAGUGCUAGAUACGUCAGCACGAAGAUCUUGAGAACAUAAGAAAUGCCGACUAACCUAAUGAGUGUAGGCUCGAUUGGCCAAAAAAUGGGCAAUAAAAGUAACCCAGAGAAGCACAUGCCUAACAAAAAUAGGAGAGGAAGAUGUCAAAGCACACACCCGACACAACAAAUAAACAUAAUCCCAACGAACAGGACCCUGGGAAUGAAUCCCAGAAAAACUUGUGGCCGAGUCUGACUCUAUGCACAGAGUAACCAAGCUAAGUAGCAAGCUCCAACAUUUCACAAACAACCAUAAGCUCAAGAUAAAAAAUUGGCUGACAGCCAAGAAAAGAUUCAAAAGCAGCUAAAAUCACACUUCGAUGAACUCAUAUAAUACCACCUGACGCAGCCAUUCCAGGAUUGCCCCUAGGGCAACCAUCCACAAUCAGUUUUGCAAUCCCAAUAAGCAGCCUCAUCGAAGAAAGGUAGUAGUUUGUUUAUUUAUUUAACUUUCAUUGGUUUGUGAUUUUUUAGAUGGACUUCAAAUAUGAUACGUCUAUGCAAGUCUCCAUGGAUAUUGAGUUGGACUUCAAAUCUCCAUGCAUAUACUGGACUUAUUGUUUCUAGAAUCCAGAAAAAGUGUAACUAUUGGCAACCCUCUAUAAUCCUUAUAAAACCUGUCUUCUAUGACAAUUACAUUAAAGAACAACAUAAAUCUAACUAAAUUCUUUCAUUUUCUUUCUCUAACUCUUUAUACCUAUAGAACCAAUCCAAUGUUUUUCUUUUUUUUUUUUUCAAACAAACACUUUGUGUUUUAAUUAUUCUUAAUCUACAAAUAAUUUCUCACGCUUAUCGAUGAUCUCCUCGUCCAUUUUCAAUUUCUUGUAUAACCUUGAACAAUAAAUUUUUUUAAAAUUACAGAUAAUCCACUUUUAACCUUAGUUAAUUCCAACAUACGUGAUUUUACUUUUAAGAGUUAAAUAUAUAUAAUUUAAUCGUUAAAAAAGUUGUUCGAGAAACAUAUAUUUGGAGUUGAGUGGAAGAAGUUGAAAAAAUAGAAAAAAAAGAUAUUUAAUAGAAAAGGGACUUUAAAAGGAAAUUACAGGGUGCUAAUAGUCCUACUUUCUUAGACAAAGUAGAGGAAUGGGCAAAUCUAGAUCAAUUCUUUGUAGAGUUAUUGUGUAGAAAUGUGUCAAACAACGAUGCAAGAUAAUAACAAAUAAAGGAGAGAAAGAAAAUGUCACAAAAGAAUUUAUGUGGUUCAAUAAAUUGCCUACAUCCAAGGCAGGGAGAAUUCAAAUAUCCACUAAUAUGACAAAGGUGGAAUACAACUAUCUCAAUGUUACUUCUCAAAUUCUCAAUACACCUUUUUUUCUCAAUUCACAAGUAUCAAAGAAAGAACACUCAAGUUAUUUGAAUUCCUCAAAUAGGAAUUGAACCUCGCAAAUGCUUACUGGAAGCUCUUAAUUAAUGCUUAUAGGAAGCUCACAUUUGUUUUUCUUCGAUACUUAAACAAAUGGAACCAUGAGCUAUUUAUAGCCAAUUUGCAAACAAUGGCCACAUUAUUUUAAUCCAAAGUGGUUACCUAACUUGGCCAUUUUUUUGCCAAAAUGCUCCACUAACAACUAUUUAAUGGCACCUACUUUGGCCACUAUCAAUUGUGGGCUUACUUUUACCUAAUUGCUCCACUAACAAAUGUUGAAUCGCUAAAUGGAAGCCACAUCGCCAACAAUCUCCACCUUGGCUUCAAAUUUUAUGUCGUCAACAUUUCCUACUGGAGCAAUUAGGUAAAGUAAGCCAAAAAUUGAAAGUGGCCAAAUUAGGUGGCAUUAAAUAAUUGUUAGUGGAGCAUUUUGGCAAAGGAAAUGGCCAAGUUAGUUAACCACUUUGGAUUAAAAUAAUGUGGCCAUUGUUUGCAAAUUGGCCAUAAAUAGCUUAUGGUUCCAUUUGUUUAAGUAUCGAAGAAAAACAAUUGUGAGCUUCUUACAAGCAUUAAUUAAGAGCUUUCAGUAACUAUUUGUGAGGUUCAAUUCCUACUUGAGGAAUUCAAAUAACCUGAGUGUUCUUUCUUCAAUACUUGUGAAUUGAGAGAAAGGGUUAAUUAGAAAUUUGAGAAGUGAGACAGUUGUAUUUCACAUUUGUCAUAUUAGUGGAAAUUUGAAUUGUCCCUCCCGUGGAUGUAGGUACUUUUUUUUUUUAAUCUCUUUUUCUUUCUUUCCUUUAUUUGGGAUCUAUAGUGUUGGUAAAGACAGUGUUGACAAAUGCUAAAGUUGAAGUUGAAAAAUUUAAUGGAACCGACAACUUCAGUAUGUGGCAAUGCGAGAUAAUAUCAAAUAAAGGAGAUAAAGGAAAUGACACCAAAAAAAAAAAAAAUUACGUGGUUUGGCAAAUUGCCUACAUGCAUGGGAGGGAAAAUUUAAAUGUCUAUUAAUAUGACAAAGGUGGAAUAGAACUCUCUCAAGCUUACUUCCUAAAUUCUCAAUACACCCUUUCUCUCAAUUCACAAGUAUCAAAGAAAGAAUACUCAAAUUGUUCGAAUUCCUCAAAUAGGAAUUGAACCUCGGAGAUAGUCACUAAAAGCUCUUAACUAAUACUUUUAGGAAGCUCACAAUAGUUUGUCUUCGAUACUCAAACAAAUGGAACCGUAGGCUAUUUAUAGCCAAUUUUUCAAACAAUGGCCAUAUCUUAAUCCAAAGUGGUUAUCUAGCAUGACCAUUUCUUUUACCAAAAUGCUCCAUUAAUGAUUAUUUUAUGGCACCUAAUUUGACCACUAUCAAUUGUUGGCUUACUUUCCCUAAUUGCUCCACUAACAAAUGUUGAAUAGCUAAAUGGAAGCCACAUUGCCAAGUGCCAACAAUAGUGAAGCUCCUAACGCUAUUUUAAAACUGUAGGAAACCCCACUUAUUAUAUAUAUAUAACUCUUAUUUUGAUGAAAUUUUUAGAAAGGGACAAAAGGUCAUAAUAGAGUUUAAUUAAUUAACAAACAAUUUUUUUAUAAUAAAAACAUAUAAUUUUUUACUAUAUUGCCACAAAUUUAUGUUGUUUUAAAAUAAUUAUUUAUAUCAUGUAAAGAUUGAGUUCAUGAUUUAUAAAUAUAAAAAUAUUUUAAUCUAGUUAAAUUCAUAUUUAUUAAUAUAAGGUUUUAUGAUAAUUUUUUAAAAAGUGCGCAACGACUAUUUAAAAACUAUUUCAUCAAGCCACGAGGACAAUUAAUUGGACCUUUUUAAUGUAAAAUGCCCAAUUUUGAAAAAUUCCAGCUAAGUGGCAAAACUAAAAGCAAUGCCUUGAACAAUUUGGCACCAUGGCCUCCCUAGGUUUCCUUAAUCUACAAAUAUUAAAGCGAACCAUGAAUUAUUUGUCUCUGUUUCCAAGUAUUAGGUAGAAUUAAUGUACUAGGCAUUUUAGCUUAGGAAAUCCUCUAUAUAUAUAUAUAUAACACAAAAAAAUCAAACACGUGAUUUGAAAAUUUUUAAAAGUAUUAAAAAUGUUUAGAAAUAUAUAAUAGAUAGAUUCAGCCCAGGAUAUCGUAUGAUAUUAAUGACAACGAGACAAAGGCUUGAAAAAUCAAACAUGAAAGACACAUUUCCCCCCGGCAAGAUGCCUAAUAUUUACAAUGCUUUGGUAGUUAAGAGUCGAGACACAACGACAUGAAAAAUCAAAGCAAAUGAUGAUGUGUUUCAAAAGUUUAUCUUUUCUGUGAGUGAAAGGACUCGAUAAAGUAGAAAUCGAACGACGACUGAUCUCUGGUAAACAUCUAUAGGUACGCAACAAAUAUUUACCAACUAACUAAAUUAAGAUUAUGUUUGAGAAAUCAAACAUAAUUUGGAAAAUAAUUAGUGUUGCAAAUAUUUAUCCUUUCUGUGAUUGAAAGAACUCGAUAAAUAGCAACUCAAUGAUAAUUGAUCUCUGGUAAAUAUCUAUAGGUGAACACAGAUACUUGCCAGCUAACUUAAGAUUAAGUUAGUAUGAAGUAUAUAUUUUAAAAUAUACCAAAAUUUCCAAGUAGUAUCCCAAUAUUUCUAAUCCAAGUGCUGACCAUUCAAUAGAUGAAUGCCUCCUCACUUAAGAUGAUUAGAGGUAGAAAAAUGAUAUUUAUUCAUAAUGAUUAAAGAACAGGCCAUAGAAACAAUUAUAAAACCAUAUGGCAUUAACGUGUUUUUCAUUAAUUUUUUUAAUUAAUUGUAACACCAUAUGGUGUUAACUUAUUUUUAUCAUUAUCUUUUUUCAUAACUGUAGGACCAUAGAGUAUUAACGUGUACUCUAUAGCCAUUAUGAAAUAUUUUCCUGGAUGAUGAAUAUUAUUAGGUAAGAUACUGUAAAAAAACAAAAUGAAAAUGAUAAAAUAAUCUAAUCAAGAUCGUUCUCAAUCAUACUCUAAAUCUAUCAAAUAAUGUCCCUUAAAGAAACAGUCCACAAAGCCUUCUUCUAGAUAUCAAUGUUUAUUACUCCAAAAUUUUUCCUGAAAACGCAGUUUAAAGAGGAAAAAAAAAAUAGUGGGAAACAACAAUAGAAUCUGUGAAGUUGACAACAAUUAUGGCAUUUUCCAGUAAUUGAGAAAUUUAAUCAUAAGUAAUAUAAGAACUUUCUCACAAGUCAUGCCGGAUAUUACUGUAUUAGAAUAAAUAAGCCAUUAGAUGCCCACAAUCGUCAUCGUUUUCUUGCAGGAACGGAAAAUGGUUAUCUCGGAUGACACCAAAACAUCUUCUGAAAAUGGGUCGGAAAUCGACAGAGAGCGAAAGGUUUUUGAUGAUACGAAAGCCGGUGUCAAAGGACUAGUGGACGCUGGAGUAGUGAAUAUUCCCAGGAUAUUCAUUCGACAACCUGAAGAGCUUGCUCAGGAGUUGACCACUCACCGGACCAAACUACAACUGCCAGUUGUCGAUCUUGAUGGCAUCAAAGACAAUAAACUUGAAGACAUUGUUGAUCAAGUUCGGGCUGCGUCCGAAACAUGGGGCUUUUUCAAAGUUAUUAAUUAUGGGGUUUCCUUAAACCUGAUACAAGAGAUGAUUGAAGGAGUUCACAAGUUUAAUGAACAAGAUGUUGAGGUGAAGAAACAGUUCUACACACGUGAGCCCACGAGAAAUGUUUGAUUCAACAGCACAUUGAUAUCUAUCACUCACGAACUGCAAGUUGGAGGGACACGUUGGCU
rnacentral:lncRNA from 1 species